GGAUGUUCUAUCUACAUAGAGGGGGAUAAGGAUGUUCUAUCUACAUAGAGGGGAGGGGGAUAAGGAUGUUCUAAACAUAGAGUAGGGGAGGGGUAUAAGGAUGUUCUAUCUACAUAGAGGAGGGGGCAUAAGGAUGUUCUAUCUACAUAGAGGGGAGGGGGGAUAAUGAUGUUCUACCUACAUAGAGGAGGGGAGGGGGAUUAAUGAUGUAAUAUCUACAUGGAGGAAGGGGCAUAAGGAUGUUCUAUCUACAUAGAGGAGGGGAGAUAAGAAUGUUCUAUCUACAUGGAGGAAGGGGGAUAAGGAUGUUCUAUCUACAUAGAGGAGGGGAGAUAAGGAUGUUCUAUCGACAUGGAGGAAGGGGGUUAAGGAUGUUCUAUCUACAUAGAGGGGGAUAAGGAUGUUCUAUCUACAUAGAGGGGAGGGGGAUAAGGAUGUUCUAUCUACAUAGAGGGGAGGGGGAUAAGGAUGUUCUAAACAUAGAGUAGGGGAGGGGUAUAAGGAUGUUCUAUCUACAUAGAGGAAGGGGGAUAGGGAUGUUCUAAACAUAGAGUAGGGGAGGGGCAUAAGGAUGUUCUAUCUACAUAGAGGAAGGGGGAUAGGGAUGUUCUAUCUACAUAGAGGGGAGGGGGAUAAGGAUGUUCUAAACAUAGAGUAGGGGAGGGGCAUAAGGAUGUUCUAUCUACAUAGAGGAAGGGGGAUAGGGAUGUUCUAUCUACAUAGAGGAGGGGAGAUAAGGAUGUUCUAUCUACAUAGAGGAGGGGAGAUAGGGAUGUUCUAUCUACAUAGAGGAGGGGAGAUAAGGAUGUUAUAUCUACAUGGGGGAUAGGGAUGUUCUAUCUACAUAGAGGAGGGGAGAUAAGAAUGUUAUAUCUACAUAGAGGAAGGGGGAUAGGGAUGUUCUAUCUACAUAGAGGAGGGGAGAUAAGGAUGUUCUAUCUACAUAGAGGAGGGGAGAUAAGGAUGUUAUAUCUACAUGGGGGAUAGGGAUGUUCUAUCUACAUAGAGGAGGGGAGAUAAGAAUGUUAUAUCUACAUAGAGGAAGGGGGAUAGGGAUGUUCUAUCUACAUAGAGGAGGGGAGAUAAGGAUGUUAUAUCUACAUAGAGGAAGGGGAUAAAGUUGUUAUAUCUGUAUAGAGGAAAUGGGGGAGGGGAUAUUGAUCUGCAGUGUUUGUUCUGCUAUAUGCAUCUAAAGCUCUGUGUUGGUCUAUGGUUAUACAGUGUCUUACUGGUCUAGUGUGUUCAUGAUCAGUACAGACUUGGUUAGAGAACGGAGAGGGUCUGUAACUGAGUGUUGCGGUUAGAGAACGUGGAGAAUCUGUAACUGAGUGUUGGGGUUAGAGAACAGAGAGGGUCUGUAACUGGGUGUUGGGGUUAGAGAACAGAGAGGGUCUGUAACUGAGUGUUGGGGUUAGAGAACAGAGAGGGUCUGUAACUGAGUGUUGGGGUUAGAAAACGGAGAGGGUCUGUAUCUGAGUGUUGGGGUUAGAGAACGGAGAGGGUCUGUAACUAGGUGUUGGGGUUAGAGAAUGGAGAGGGUCUGUAACUGGGUGUUGGGGUUAGAGAACGGAGAGGGUCUGUAACUGAGUGUUGGGGUUAGAGAACGGAGAGGGUCUGUAACUGAGUGUUGGGGUUAGAGAACGGAGAGGGUCUGUAACUGGGUGUUUGGGUUAGAGAACGGAGAGGGUCUGUAACUGAGUGUUGGGGUUAGAGAACAGAGAGGGUCUGUAACUGAGUGUUGGGGUUAGAGAACAGAGAGGGUCUGUAACUGGGUGUUGGGGUUAGAGAACAGAGAGGGUCUGUAACUGGGUGUUGGAGUUAGAGAACAGAGAGGGUCUGUAACUAGGUGUUGGGGUUAGGGAACGGAGAGGGUCUGUAACUGAGUGUUUGGGUUAGAGAACAGAGAGGGUCUGUAACUGGGUGUUGGGGUUAGAGAACGGAGAGGGUCUGUAACUGGGUGUUUGGGUUAGAGAACGGAGAGGGUCUGUAACUGAGUGUUGGGGUUAGAGAACGGAGAGCGUCUGUAACUGAGUGUUGGGGUUAGAGAACGGAGAGGGUUUGUAACUGAGUGUUGGGGUUAGAGAACGGAGAGGGUCUGUAACUGAGUGUUGGGGUUAGAGAACAGAGAGGGUCUGUAACUGAGUGUUGGGGUUAGAGAACAGAGAGGGUCUGUAACUGAGUGUUGGGGUUAGAGAACGGAGAGGGUCUGUAACUGAGUGUUGGGGUUAGAGAACGGAGAGGGUCUGUAACUGAGUGUUGGGGUUAGAGAACGGAGAGGGUCUGUAACUGAGUGUUGGGGUUAGAGAACAGAGAGGGUCUGUAACUGAGUGUUGGGGUAUGGAGGGUGAUGUGAUAUCUGACUGAGCUGCUGUAUGUCUCUGUCUGUCUCAGGUGGUGAUGAUACUUGUUGCCAUUAAAGUGCCUUAAUGACUA